GGGCUCUUAGCUCAGCUGGUAGAGCGCCUCGUUUACACCGAGGACGUCGGGGGUUCGAGUCCCUCAGGGCCCA
rnacentral:tRNA from 1 species